CUGGGCACGGCGCUGCCGCCGCCGCGUGCCCCGGCGCCGUGCAUGGAGAGGGAGCGGGCUCCGAGGGCCAAGCCGCCUGCAUACGCCGGACUGCCCCGCCACCGCCGGGAAAAGGAUUGCGGCUAAAACUUCUGGAGAAUUAUUUUUUUUUGUUUGUGCAACUAGAGUCUCAUUAGAGCCCACUGAUUAGCUUUGUCUUCAAGAAAUUUCCCCUUCUCACCUUUGCAGUCUGGAAGAGGGACCUAGCAGACUGGUAAGGCCAUACUACUGCAGCUGUUCAUGGAAAGCUCUACAAGAUGGGGUUUUCAAUCCUACAAGGAUCCUCUGCUGCUUGAGUUAAAGGUCAACUGGAUUAACUUGAGGUUGAGUAACAUAGAUGGACAAGACUAGUAAGUUUGUCAUUGGCUUGUUUCUAGUACUGGGUCUGGUUUCUAGUACCACUGCAGCAGUGAUAAGGGGUAGGCAUUAA